rnacentral:RNase_P_RNA from 1 species
ACUGUUCGCCGGGGUGUCGCCUCAGUCCUCACGGAUUGGGGAGGAAAGUCCGGACAACAAAGAGCGCUGCACCGCCUAACCGACGGGGUCCGUGUUAAAGCGGAUACAGAAAGUGCCACAGAAAAUAACCGCUUCGUGUAAACGGAGUAAGGGUGAAAAUGUGAGGUAAAAGCUCACGGUUCGGCAUAGUAAUAUGUCGGGCGGGUAAACCUUGCGGGUUGAAAGGUCAAAUAAAUCCUGAUUCCGGUUUCGAUCCGGAAGUGGUGUUGCUCGCAUCGCCAUCGGGACGGGUUGACCGACAGAUUCAGAUGGCAACAUCUGAACCAGAUAAAUGACGACCCUACCGGAAUUUAUUCCGGGAAACAGAAUCCGGCUUACGAGCGGACAGUUCAU